UACGUAGGUGGCAAGCGUUGUCCGGAAUUAUUGGGCGUAAAGCGCGCGCAGGCGGCCUCUUAAGUCUGAUGUGAAAGCCCCCGGCUCAACCGGGGAGGGCCAUUGGAAACUGGGAGGCUUGAGUAUAGGAGGGAAGAGUGGAAUUCCACGUGUAGCGGUGAAAUGCGUAGAGAUGUGGAGGAACACCAGUGGCGAAGGCGACUCUUUGGCCUAUAACUGACGCUGAGGCGCGAAAGCGUGGGGAGCAAACAGG
rnacentral:rRNA from 1 species